CCUACGGGUGGCAGCAGUGGGGGAUAUUGCACAAUGGGCGCAACCCUGAUGCAGCGACGCCGCGUGGGUGAAGAAGCGCCUCGGCGCGUAAAGCUCUGUCAGCAGGGAAGAACAUGCCGGUACCUGAAGAAUAAGCCCCGGCUAACUACGUGCCAGAAGCUGCGGUAAUACGUAGGGGGCAAGCGUUAUCCGGAUCUACUGGGUGUAAAGGGGGCGCAGACGGCGGUGCAGGUCAGAAGUGAAAGCCCGGGGCCCAACCCCGGGACUGCACUGGAAACUGCGUGGCUAGAGUGCAGGAGAGGAAGGCGGAAGUCCUGGUGUAGCGGUGAAAUGCGUAGAUAUCAGGAGGAACACCAGCGGCGAAGGCGGCCUGCUGGACCGUAACUGACGUUGAGGCUCGAAAGCGUGGGGAGCAAACAGGAUUAGAUACCCUAGUAGUC
rnacentral:rRNA from 1 species